rnacentral:lncRNA from 1 species
AGCGGCGAUUCGCGGAGAGAGGAACGGCGGUGCGGACGUCGGAAAUCGAAGCUUGAGGGGCAGAUUUAGGGAUCUAGGGUUUCACCGAGAUCUAAGCCCUUCCCCCUCUGUAAAUCGAGAUCUAAGCCCUAAAUCCGCCGAGAACUAUCGCGCCACCGCCUCCAACAACUUCACCUUCCAUCCGCCUUCUUCCACCGCCUCGCACCUCC